rnacentral:tRNA from 1 species
AGAUCUAUAAUUUAACGGUAAAAUAUACAUCUGAUAAAUGUAACUUAAUAGUUCAAUUCUAUUUAGAUCUA